UUUAAACUGGUCUCAGUUGGAAAACAGUUUUUAUAGUUCUGUUUUAGUUUGAGCUUUACUUUUCUUCAUCUGGAGUUCUAUAACCCGAGCACUACACUGUUUCAACAGGUCUUUAAACUGUAGACCUGCAGGAGGCAGAGACGGACACACGGGAGGGACGUGAACAUUUCAACUCCAAACACUGUGUACUUCAAAGUCCGGAGCUUCAAUGAACACAACAUACGGGAGAAACUCUGAUGUCCGCAAGACUUUGAGGGCCUGCCAGAGAACAAACCCAAUAUUACAUAGGGAACAGCACCUGUGGGUUGACGUCCAGAAUGCAGAUCUUUCCCGAGUCCACAACCUCAUGGAUGGAGUUGAUCUUGGUGCCGUACAGGUUGCCAUCAUACUCUCCAUGUUCCAGAAAACGACCGUUUUUAAUGUCUGCCUCCAUUUCACUUCUUGACAUAAAAAGAUACAUCUGCCCUUC